CCUGAGAGAAGGAAACAAAGGAUGGAUGUCAAUUUAGGAAUGGUAAUAAACAUCCACACACAGACCCAAUGAGGCUGAAUUUGAGCCACAAAGGUCAAAGUUUUGCAUUGCAAGCAGCAUUUGACCGCAAAAGUGAUACUUGGAAUGAUUUCUGAUGCAUUCCUGUGCACUAGAGCCAGACUCCAGCCAUAUUCAUCUAAAGUUUCUUUGUGGAGGCCUGAAUCAGCAAAAGCAGCUUUUGACCUCAACUGCAGUGCAAAACUGCUCCAUGCAAUUCCACUGCUUACCUUUGGUGCCAUAUUCCCGGAGCUGCGUGGACCCCUGACUGCUCAGACUUUGACAGGUUGAAACAGACAUUAAAAAAGCAACCGCCAGGAAUCUCUUCCCAGCACAAGUCAAGAAGUGACCUGCGUGUCCGCGUUUAUUUAUCUUGGCACGCCGAGCAGUGGAUACAAGUUGCGCUUCGCACAGGAUGAGUCACGCCGUUGAUGCCGCAAUCUUUUGUGAAUGCUAUGUUGACAUUAAUGGAAGACGCUGCUUACAUAAAUAAAAACUUUGUAAGCGAAUGGUAGAAAUAUGUGUGUGUGGUCCAACUUUGUGCUUAGUGUUCGAUGACCAUAUACAGUAAGGACAUGUCUACUGUGUCUGUGUGUGGAAUACAGUUGAGAUAUUUUAUUUGCAAGGCUGUCACAAUGCUGUAUUUCACUAUUUUUAUUGAGCAGAUUCACAAUAAAAGAAUGCUCAGAUUCUUUGCUAUAUGCUUUCA